rnacentral:misc_RNA from 1 species
CGAAAUGCGAUAAGUAAUGUGAAUUGCAGAAUUCAGUGAAUCAUCGAAUCUUUGAACGCACCUUGCGCUCCUUGGUAUUCCGAGGAGCAUGCCUGUUUGAGUGUCAUGGAAUUCUCAACUCUAUUUGCUUUUGUGAAUAGAGCUUGGAUUUGGAGGUUUAUUGCUGGUACUUGUGAUCGGCUCCUCUUGAAUGCAUUAGCUCGAACCUUUGCGGAUCAGCUAUCGGUGUGAUAAUUGUCUACGCCGUUGCAGUGAAGCAUAUCAAUGGGCUCGGCUUCCAAUCGUCCUUUACUGGACAAUGACUUUGACCUUUGACCUCAAAUCAGGUAGGAUUACCCGCUGAACUUAAGC